UACAGAGGUCUCAAGCGUUGUUCGGAUUGCAUUGGGCGUAAAGGGUGCGUAGGCGGCGCGGUAAGUCCGGGUGUGGAAAGUCAUCGGAGCUUAACUCCGAAACUGCAUUCGAUACUGCGGUGCUUGAGGACUGGAGAGGAGACUGGAAUUCAUGGUGUAGCAGUGAAAUGCGUAGAUAUCUGGAGGAACACCGGUGGCGAAGGCGGCAUCCUGGACCGACGACUGAACGCUGAGGAGCGAAAGCCAGGGGAGCAAACGGG
rnacentral:rRNA from 1 species